GGCAGCUUUCGUCGAUUUAAAAGUUAUUCCAAAGCCACGUGUGCCGAUUGUUCAUUUCAGUCUGGCUGCACCACCUUUUAUCAUCUGUGUCAAAAUGGACCUUACUGGUGGCAGUUUUGAGAGCAACUUGGCUUCUCUAAACCUCGUUGAGGAAAAAGAUUACAUCUUCUUCAGCUGACACUGACAUUGGUGAAGUGAGACUCAAUAUUUAAAAGUUUAUUGCAUUUUUAAACAAUAUUUUUUGAAAACCAUUUUCCAUGGCCAAUUAUCACAAAUUCACUACAAUUGUUGAAGCUCUUAAGACCCUAGACAUCCACUACCACGACGACCUUUUCUUGAUUACAUUAGAUUUUGAAAGCUUACAUACCAACAUUAUAUUGCAUUUUAUUGUUUUAUUUUGCAUUUGUCACAAAUUAAUAUAAUGCUAAUGCAACAGUUUAUUUUCUACAACAAUAACUAAACUUAAUAGAAUGCUAAUACAUGUACAACACUUUGAUCAAUUAAACAUAAAUGGUGACAGAUGUGGGAACCAGGAAAAAAGCCUAAGCUUAUACAGAGCCUGUCCCGUUUGUGAAUAACUUAUGAAAUAAACAAUAAUUAAAGCUAUAAAUUAAAUCAGUGAUCAAUAAAUUAAUUAAUUAAUUACUUGGCAUAAUAGUAGAAAAACUGAAGGAAAUUGAAAUAUACUGAUUUACAAUAUAACAUUUGAUUUUAAUGGAAUGUGACUGAUACAGAUGUGAAUUAUGGAUGCAUGUCUUAUAUAAUACCGGAAAUAAGUAGAUUUUUUAGAUAUCUUUUGAAUUUAUGCACAGUCCAGAAGAAGGGUAUAGGUGUAAGCUGAUUCCAGAGAAGGGGGCCUUGGUGUCUAACUGUUUUCAUGAAUGAUGCAGUCCUAGCCUUACCAAUGUGAAUUGUGUGUGUGUUAUGUAAAUUGACAUCUAAAUUCCUCACAAACAUGGACCUGAUAUUUGUAGGUAGUAGGUUACCUUCGAAUUUCAACAUUAGGAUUCCUAGAUGGUAUUUGUACAGUUCAAAAAUAUUUAGUGUUUUUUUAUUGUUUAAAAAGGGGCGCAGAGUGUUCUCUGGAACCGCAAUUUGUGAUGACUCUCAUCAGCUUCUUCUGUACUAUUUAUAAUUUAUUCAAAUAAGUACUAUGAGUAUUUCCCCAUGCUAGAAUGCACCACAAGAUAUCUAUAACACACUUCUCAAACUUGCCACCUUGCUGGAAUACCCUCCAGAAUUUCACACAUAUUUCAAAGAACUACAUACAUUCACCAGCAAUUACAGCAACUUCAAAAUAGGUAAUCACAUCUUCAAACAGAAUCUGGCGAUACAAAUGGGAUCAUACCACUCAGCACAACUCUCAAACCUCAUAUUAGCUCACAGAGAAUACAACUUCCAUAAUCAUCACAAAUAUCCAAACAUUUUUAUAUUUCAAAGAUACAUGGACGACGGCUUCAUCAUCAUGUGAAACACCAAAGAGUUCAACCGUACACAUCUCAUCAAACUACUCGCCCACAUCUAUCCAAAAUCCAUACUAAUCACAGUAUACUUCUCAGACCUAUGCAUUUCCAUCAACCACCAUACAUUACAAUACGAUAAAUUACAUUUUUUACCACAAACCAUUCCAAAAUUUCACAUACGUACACUCUACUUCCAAUCACAAUACUAACAUUUUUUCAAGCAUCAUUAAAGGCGAAUGUCACAGAAAUAACACACACAGUGCACUCACUCUUGUUUUACUAUACUCCCGAGAACAAUGCUUUGUAUUUCCCUUUGUCCCUGUUUAAUACUCUCCCAUAGACUAAGCACACAAACCUACAACACAAUUGAAGAGGCAAGAAUGGCUCGACUAUUAGACUGUUCAGCCUUCUGCAAUUCUACAUGUUAUUUUUGUAAAUAAAUAGUUUCUUUUGUUUCAACAGUACAUUAAAUAUAAUGUAAAUAGCCAACACAAUUUUUCUCUCGCCUAAAUCCCACCCAGAAAGCUUCAUAACAACAAUUUGAGUUCAAACCGAUAACCUCAACGAUCACUUUCACCUUAAGAAUCCUCUUCCAUAAGAACCAUCCUGAAAUCUAGGUAUACCACCAAUAGCCCCUAAUAUAGAAAAAUAAAACAAAAAUCAAGUGAAUUUUUUUUUAAUUGUUGAUUUAUCGCAACACUUUUAUAUAAACAUUAAUAAUAUUAACUCAAACAGUCCUCUAUCCUUCAAAUUUGUUUGACAUGAUAUUUCACACAUGGAUAUAGAGUUAGGAUUACGAUUAAUGCAAUCCUUGGAAAUGCACCAAUCUGUCCCAUUUAGCCCUAUUUUCAAUUUUCAUUCUGCCGUUUUUAAGUGUAUUUUAGUGUUUUUCUGUUUUUUUUAUGCUGAUACAAAUUUCCAUAUUAAAGAGCGAAAGUGUGAUGUCAUAUCAGACAGAAACCACAAUGUUGCAAUUGGUGUUGUACAAAAAGUUGCCAGAAAUUUGGAUAUCUCGUUGUCGCAAUUUUUCUUUAGUAAUUCGUUGUUAUGUCAAUACAUGGCAGUAAGCCAAUGAACAAACCUUUCUCACAAAUAUUUCAAUAAAACAAUUUAGGUUCAGAAUUUCUACAGAAUAACAGCUAAUGAGAACAGUGUCUCCCUGAAAUGACAUCAAAGAAACAGCGCCCUUAGUUAUCCACAAGGCA
rnacentral:lncRNA from 1 species